GUGAGGAAUAUUGGUCAAUGGGCGGGAGCCUGAACCAGCCAAGUCGCGUGAAGGAAGAAGGAUCUAUGGUUCGUAAACUUCUUUUGCAGGGGAAUAAAGUGCAGGACGUGUCCUGUUUUGUAUGUACCCUGAGAAUAAGGAUCGGCUAACUCCGUGCCAGCAGCCGCGGUAAUACGGAGGAUCCGAGCGUUAUCCGGAUUUAUUGGGUUUAAAGGGUGCGUAGGUGGUUUGAUAAGUCAGCGGUGAAAGUUUGCAGCUUAACUGUAAAAAUGCCGUUGAAACUGUCGGACUUGAGUGUAAAUGAGGUAGGCGGAAUGCGUGGUGUAGCGGUGAAAUGCAUAGAUAUCACGCAGAACUCCGAUUGCGAAGGCAGCUUACUAAGCUACAACUGACACUGAAGCACGAAAGCGUGGGGAUCAAACAGGAUUAGAAACCCUUGUAGUC
rnacentral:rRNA from 1 species